rnacentral:rRNA from 1 species
GACGAACGCUGGCGGCGUGCCUAAUACAUGCAAGUAGAACGCUGAAGCUUGGUGCUUGCACCGAGCGGGUGAGUUGCGAACGGGUGAGUAACGCGUAGGUAACCUGCCUGGUAGCGGGGGAUAACUAUUGGAAUCGAUAGCUAAUACCGCAUAAGAGUAGAUGUUGCAUGACAUUUGCUUAAAAGGUGCAUUUGCAUCACUACCAGAUGGACCUGCGUUGUAUUAGCUAGUUGGUGAGGUAACGGCUCACCAAGGCAACGAUACAUAGCCGACCUGAGAGGGUGAUCGGCCACACUGGGACUGAGACACGGCCCAGACUCCUACGGGAGGCAGCAGGAGGGGAUCUUCGGCAAUGGACGGAAGUCUGACCGAGCAACGCCGCGUGAGUGAAGAAGGUUUUCGGAUCGUAAAGCUCUGUUGUAAGAGAAGAACGAGUGUGAGAGUGGAAAGUUCACACUGUGACGGUAUCUUACCAGAAAGGGACGGCUAACUACGUG